rnacentral:rRNA from 1 species
UACGGAGGAUCCAAGCGUUAUCCGGAUUUAUUGGGUUUAAAGGGUGCGCAGGCGGAAUAAUAAGUCAGUGGUGAAAUCCUGCAGCUUAACUGCAGAACUGCCAUUGAUACUGUUAUUCUUGAGUAUAGUUGAAGUGGGCGGAAUGUGUCAUGUAGCGGUGAAAUGCUUAGAUAUGACACAGAACACCAAUUGCGAAGGCAGCUCACUAAGCUAUAACUGACGCUCAUGCACGAAAGCGUGGGGAUCAAACAGG